AGUUUGAUUAUGGCUCAGAUUGAACGCUGGCGGGAUGCUUUACACAUGCAAGUCGAACGGCAGCACGACUUCUCGGUCUGGUGGCGAGUGGCGAACGGGUGAGUAAUGUAUCGGAACGUGCCUAUAGCGGGGGAUAAUCUACGCGAAAGCGUAGCCAAUACCGCAUACGCCCUUCGGGGAAAGCGGGGGGACCUUCUUCGGGCCUCGCACUAUUAGAGCGGCCGAUAUCGGAUUAUGCUAGUUGGUGGGGUAACGGCUCACCAAGGCGACGAUCCGUAGCUGGUUUGAGAGGACGACCAGCCACACUGGGACUGAGACACGGCCCAGACUCCUACGGGAGGCAGCAGUGGGGAAUUUUGGACAAUGGGGGAAACCCUGAUCCGGCACGUAUCCGCGUGUGCGAUGAAGGCCUUCGGGUUGUAAAGACCCUUGGCAGGAAGGAAACGGCACGGAUAAUACCCCGCAACUGACGGUACCUGCAGAGACAAGCACCGGCUAACUACGUGCCAAAGCCGCGGUAAUACGUAGGGUGCUGUUAAUCGGAAUUACUGGGCGUAAAGCGUGCGCAGGCGGUUCGGAAAGAAAGAUGCAAAUCCCAGAGCUUAACUUUGGAACUGCAUUUUUUUAACUACCGAGCUAGAGUGUGUCAGAGGGAGGUGAAUUCCGCGUAGCAGUGAAAUGCGUAGAUGGCGGAGGAACACCGAUGGCGAAGGCAGCCUCCUGGGAUAACACUGACGCUCAUGCACGAAAGCGUGGGGAGCAAACAGGAUUAGAUACCCUGGUAGUCCACGCUCCAAACGAUGUCAACUAGCUGUUGGGGCCUUCUGGCCUUGUAGCGCAGCUAACGCGUGAAGUUGACCGCCUGGGGAGUACGGUCGCAAGAUUAAAACUCAAAGGAAUUGACGGGGACCCGCACAAGCGGUGGAUGAUGUGGAUUAAUCUGGAUGCAACGCGAAAACUCACUUACCUUUUGACAUGUCUGGAAUCCCGGUGAUUUGGGAGUGCUCGCAAGAGAACCGGAACACAGGUGCUGCAUGGCUGUCGUCAGUCAGGUCGUGAGAUGUUGUUAAGUCCCGCAAUGAGCAACCCUUGUCAUUAGUUGCGCACAGCGGGCACUGAUUGAGACUGUUUGCGACAAACCGGAGGAAGGUGGGAUGAUCAAGUCCUCAUGGCCCUUAUGGGUAGGCUUCACACGUCAUACAAUGGUCGGGACAGAGGGUCGCCAAACUCCGCGAGGGGAGCCAAUCCCAGAAACCCACUGUAGUCCGGAUCGCAGUCUGCAACUCGACUGCGUGAAGUCGGAAUCGCUAGUAAUCGCGGAUCGACAUGUCUGCAGUGAAUGCGUCUCUCAAUUCAUACACACCGCCACUGCGCCAUGGGAGUAUUUUCGCAGGUAAUAGCCUACUGUGGGAGGGCGAUCAUCUAUCGCCACGGUAGACUAUGACAAAAGGAAGUCGUACAAGGUACUCGUUACACUAUCUUUCUCAGAAAUGGCUGUAU
rnacentral:rRNA from 1 species